AACGAACGCUGGCAGCGUGGAUUAGGCAUGCAAGUCGAACGGGAUCCAAUACUAUAGCAAUAUAAUGUUGGUGAGAGUGGCGUAAGGGCGAGUAACGCGUGGGUAAUCUACCUCAAAGUUGGGGAUAACCCGGCGAAAGCUGGGCUAACACCGGAUGUGGUCGUCUCCCGAUGGGGAGGAGGACUAAAGGCGGGGAUCUUUCGGGACCUGCCGCUUUGAGAGGAGCCCGCGUGCCAUCAGCUAGUUGGUAGGGUAACGGCCUACCAAGGCUUACGGCUAGCUGGUCUGAGAGGACGACCAGCCGCACUGGGACUGAGACACUGCCCAGACUCCUACGGGAGGCUGCAGUCGAGGAUCUUGGACAAUGGGGGAAACCCUGAUCCAGCGACGCUGCGUGGAGGAUGAAGGCCUUCGGGUUGUAAACUCCUGUCAUUCGGGAAAAACGACCUCACGGAUAAUACCCGUGGGGAGUAAUGGUACCGAAAGAGGAAGCCACGGCUAACUCUGUGCCAGCAGCCGCGGUAAUACAGAGGUGGCAAGCGUUGUUCGGAUUUACUGGGCGUAAAGGGUGCGUAGGUGGUCGCUUAUGUCGGGCGUGAAAGCCCACGGCUCAACCGUGGAAUGGCGUCCGAAACUG
rnacentral:rRNA from 1 species